UGGGGAAUUUUGGACAAUGGGGGAAACCCUGAUCCAGCCAUCCCGCGUGUGCGAUGAAGGCCUUCGGGUUGUAAAGCACUUUUGGCAGGAAAGAAACGUCAUGGGUUAAUACCCCGUGAAACUGACGGUACCAGCAGAAUAAGCACCGGCUAACUACGUGCCAGCAGCCGCGGUAAUACGUAGGGUGCAAGCGUUAAUCGGAAUUACUGGGCGUAAAGCGUGCGCAGGCGGUUCGGAAAGAAAGAUGUGAAAUCCCAGAGCUCAACUUUGGAACUGCAUUUUUAACUACCGGGCUAGAGUGUGUCAGAGGGAGGUGGAAUUCCGCGUGUAACAGUGAAAUGCGUAGAUAUGCGGAGGAACACCGAUGGCGAAGGCAGCCUCCUGGGAUAACACUGACGCUCAUGCACGAAAGCGUGGGGAGCAAACAGG
rnacentral:rRNA from 1 species